rnacentral:rRNA from 1 species
GAUGAACGCUAGCGGCAGGCUUAAUACAUGCAAGUCGUGGGGCAGCAUGGGGUAGCAAUACCCUGAUGGCGACCGGCAAACGGGUGCGGAACACGUACGCAACCUUCCUUUAACUGGAGAAUAGCCCCUCGAAAGAGGGAUUAAUACUCCGUAAUAUCCCGAUAUGGCAUCAUAAUUGGAUUAUAGCUCCGGCGGUUAGAGAUGGGCGUGCGCCUGAUUAGGAGUUGGCGGGGUAAUGGCCCACAAGCCUGCGAUCAGUAACUGGUGUGAGAGCACGA